rnacentral:rRNA from 1 species
GAUGAACGCUGGCGGCGUGCCUAAUACAUGCAAGUCGAGCGAACAGAUAAGGAGCUUGCUCCUUUGACGUUAGCGGCGGACGGGUGAGUAACACGUGGGUAACCUACCUAUAAGACUGGGAUAACUUCGGGAAGCCGGAGCUAAUACCGGAUAAUAUUUCGAACCGCAUGGUUCGAUAGUGAAAGAUGGUUUUGCUAUCACUUAUAGAUGGACCCGCGCCGUAUUAGCUAGUUGGUAAGGUAACGGCUUACCAAGGCGACGAUACGUAGCCGACCUGAGAGGGUGAUCGGCCACACUGGAACUGAGACACGGUCCAGACUCCUACGGGAGGCAGCAGUAGGGAAUCUUCCGCAAAGGGCGAAAGCCUGACGGAGCAACGCCGCGUGAGUGAUGAAGGUCUUCGGAUCGUAAAACUCUGUUAUUAGGGAAGAACAUACGUGUAAGUAACUGUGCACGUCUUGACGGUACCUAAUCAGAAAGCCACGGCUAACUACGUG